ACAAGAGAUUACACCAAAGGACACUAACACCGAACAGAAACACAAGCAGCAGCAUCAAGUCUAUGCUACAAUAUUCAUAAAGCAUACAAACACCAAAGAGGUGAACACCAACCAUCCCAAUAAUCAGAAACAAAACUGAAAAUCACCAGCAGCAAUGAAAGCAUGUCCAGAAAACUCCAUCAGCAGACCCGCAGAACCGGAAAAGAGAUGGUAGAACACCCCAUAAACCUGAGAGGCAUCAUUGAAUUUGCUGCUCGUAGUGUAUGCACGAAGGAAACCAACUUAAGCAACCGAUUUAAGGAAGCGAGUGAAGGUAGCAGCUUUAUCAAAGUCUCCUUCUUCGCGGGCUCGUAAGAUAUUAAACAUAAGAAUAAGCCGAAUCCGAUUGCAAGCUGUUUGCUUCAUAAUCACUUGAGUUUCCUCUCCGAGUUGAUCGCAUUGGCGUUUAACAUCUCCAAACCUUUCUCCUAAAUUUCGUUGCUCCUCUCUUAUGCAUCUUUGAUCUUCCCUUAUCUUAUCCAUUUCCGAUUUUAUUCGUUGGGCCCUCACUUUCAAACUCUUCAUUUUUGGUUUGAAAGUCUUCUUCCUAUAUGCUCAUCGCCAUUUUAUCAGCUUAAAUUUGAAGCUAAAGUGCUCAAAGAUAUAAUCUUGGAAUGUAUUGAGUGAAAUGCCAUGAAGACUGGAUUGUAUAUUUAUACCAAGUGAAUGUUAGAGAACGCGUCUCAAAGAUAUAAAAACGCCAGUGUUGUCUAGGAAUCGGGCGCCGCGGUAAGAGUGGCUGGGAACACUCUAUGAGGUAAGAUUAUUGUUAUGAUUGGCUGCUGAUAUUUCUAUGUGGAAUCUUUUCUUGGCUUUUCUUGGUUUUUCUUGCUUCACAAACUUUUUCAAAAACGGAAUCUUUCUAUGUGAGCCUAUGCUUUAUUUUGUAUCGAUAUAACUUUUCAGAAAAAUUUUCACUUCAAAGUGCUAAUCAUGCUUUGCUCCUCGUUUCUUCUUAUUAUAACUUUUUUAUAUUAUCUUAUUAUUAAAAUAAUAAAAUAUUAUUUGAUGUGAUAUUUGUCUUUGAAAUUAGAAAAGUUUUAAAAUUUAAUUAUUUUUUUAAUUUUAUAUAAUUGAGGAUAAAUUUGCAUAAUCAAUUAAAUUAAUUCAUAAAAUUAUAAUUAUUAAUUAAUUUAUAAUAUCUUUUAAUAUAUAUACUUUAUAUAUAUUAGAUUCAUUUAUAAAUAAUAUAAUUACUGUUAUAUAUAUAUAUUUUGUGUGCAUGUGUGUAUAUAUAUAUGUACUUUAAAUAUAAAUAUAUUUACUUUCUAUUUUGUGUUAACAUUACAAAAAUUAUAACUCAUAAAAUUAUUAAUUACAAUAUAUAUACCUUUGUUUAUAUAAACUUAUAACAUAUAAAUCUAAAAGAAAGUUAUGAGAUAAGUAUAGUUAAUUGGAUAAUUGGGUACCCAUGAAGAAGAUUUUAAUAAUUUUUUUAUCUAAUCGGGUAUUUAAAUGGGUUAAGGUAAUUAUAGGGUAGUGGGAAUGUAUUAGGGUUAGGAUUAUUGUAGUAAUUUUUAAAAUUAUUCAGAUAGUUAAAAAGGUUAGGGUAUUUAAUUUUUACUAAGGUUAAGGUUCGGGUAUCUCAAAAUUUAAGGAUACCCUACCUGUUAGCAUCCUUAAUUAAAUCCAGAUUCGAUAUUAUCUAUAUUUGUUUUUUGCCAAAAAAAAUAUUUAAGUGAUAAAGUCUUGAAAGAGGUGUACUAUUUACUCUUUAGAUGAUCUUUUGAAAAUUCUCUUACCAUGGAAACUAUUUUGAAGUUUAUGUUGACAUUUUUCAACAUAGUUUCGUAAGGUAUAUAAAGUCUUGGCUAAAAGAGUUGGGAAUCUUUAAAACUCAUAAGAGUUAAUUUUAAGUGAUCUUCCAAAAAUUCUUCAAUAAGAUACAAUAUCUUGGAGUUUGCAAACAAAAUUUCCAAAAUAUUUCUUUACAGAAAUAGAGACUUUAGUAUAUCGUUAAGAGUCUUAAAAGUUACGUACACUCAUUUGAACGAAGAGAAAUAUUUCUUUUUAAUUUAUGUUUGUUCACAAAAAUGGUGUCUGCAUCAUUAUGCAAUGCAUGAUUCUCAUAAAACAAUAUGCAAUGAUUAGGAGUAACUAUAGACAUCCCUUUUAUUCGAAAUUAUUUAUUGUAAAUUUUUUAUUAAUUCGCAUUAGUUCAUUAUUAAUUAGUCCAAUUUUUAGCUUUUUCAUAUUAUUUUUAUUUGAGCUUUAAUUACGUUAAAUUAAACUCAACAAGUAAAUUAAGUUUAGGGUUAGUGUCCAACAUACAAACUUAGGGUCCAAAGUGCAAACUUAGGGUUCAAAUUGAAAUGAAUCUAUAUAUAUGUAUAUACCCAAAAAUAACAAAAACUAAAAAAUCAGUAAAUAAAAAUAUAAAAAUUUAUAAAAAAUCAAAAGGGAACAUUUCAUCUUGCAUUAACAGAUUUGAUUCCACAAAAUCAAGAUAAUAAAAGCAAAUAAAAAAUCAGGGAAAAUCAAGGAAAAAUAAAGAAAUAAAAAAUAAAAGGCCUAAUAUCUAAAAAAGUCUUUAAACUAUUCAAAAAAAUUCAAAUAGGCAUUUAUACUUUUAUUGUGUUCAAACAAGCCCUUAUACUUUUAUUUUGAGUCAAAUAAGCUCGUAUAACUAAUUGUUGAAUUAGUCAAAAUGUCACUUGUCAUUUUAUGUUAUAUGGCAUUGACAUGGCACUAACGUGGUAUAUUGACAUGUCAUAAUACAUGAUGAUUUGGUAUAUUAAUGUGAUAUGUUGACAUGGUCAUAUCGCAUUUUUCACGCUCUAUGUCAGCACCACAUGAAUAUAAAAUGAUAGUGUAUGUUUUGAUUAUUGGCAAUUAGUACACCAUUAUUUAUAAGAGCUUAUUUGACAUAAAAUAAAAGUACAAAUGCUUGAUUGAACAAAAUAAAAGAAUAAAGGCUUAUUUAAAUUUUUUUUGAAAAGUUUACAGAUUUUUUUUACCAUUAUGACAAAAUAAAAAGGGGAAGAGAUCCAAAUUACACAUUAAUAAAUUACCUACAAUAUUAGGAAAAUUAUUGAUGUAAAAACUCUCCCCUCUUCAAAAAAAGAAACCUCUCUCCCUCUAUUGCUAAUAAUAUCUUUUUGCAUUUUGAAAAGCAUGGUUUUAAUUGGAUUCUAUGCUAGUUUCUCACCAUGCAUUUUUAGAGAUCAAAACGCUUGUUAAAUGUCAAAAAUCAAAUUCUAUUUUUAAAUCUAAUGUUUUAUUUCUUUGUUCCAAAUUAAGCUCAGGAUUGGUUUGGAUGGAAGUCUGAGUGUUCUGACGUAUGUUUGCAAAAAAGCAAUAUUAGAUUCAAAAGGGGUUUUUCCUUGGUACUUUAGAAUAGCUCUUAUAACUUUAAAAUAUAAGCUUUUGUUAGUGUGUAAAAAAGGUGUAUAAACCCUUAUCAAUGUGUGAACAGAUCCUUGGAGCAAUUAAGAUACUAGUUUUUGAAUAAGUCGAUACAUUAAAACAUUUAAUUUGGAAAAAUAUGAAAAUUAAUUAUGCUUGAUUUAUUAGUACUUAAUAUUAUAUUAUUUACUAUUGCUUGCUGAUGUAGCCACACAAUUUGUCAACCAGUUUUCUUAUGCAUGAGCAACUUUUGUUAUGAUUUAAGAGCCUUCUCUCAUAACUAUUUAAAUAUUGAUUAAUUUCUUGCAGGUUUAGUCACCCACCUAAAACAAAAUUCUAAAAGAUAGAUCUCUCAAGUGUUCGCAGUACUCCCUUAUUAGAAUAACUAGAAUAUUACCCGUGUGCAACAUACGGACCUCUUUAUACUCCUCUCUUUUGCUUCAACGUCUUUUCUCUUUUCACUCUAUUUGCCCUUCACGUGGUUCACUCUGACGCCUUUGCACCCCUCUCUUUCUCUCUCUUUGCUUCAACAUCUUUUCUCUUUCACUGUCUCUGCCUUCCACACAGUUAACUCUGGAACCCUCAGGCUUUUUUUUAUGUAUGUUAUAAAAGUCACAACUUUCCACAUAGCAGCUUAGGGGAACAAAAACGUGGCCAAAUAUAGAGCCAAGUUUAAAUCUUCAAAUUAUUUCUUUCUUGCUGGCCAUCGGUUUAGUCAACUGGCCCAUCCAAGAAAGGAAAACAGAUUACACCGGAAGACACUAACACUAAACAGAAACACAUGCAGCAGCAUCAAGUCUAUACUACUCAUAAAGCAUACAAACACCAAAGUGGUGAACACCAACCAUCCUAAUAAUCUGAUCUUGAUAACUAGAACAGAAACCAAACUGAAAAUCACCGGCAGCAAUGAAAGCAUAUCCAGAAAACUCCAUCAGCAGACCCCCGGAUCUCAACAUUCACAAACCAGAAAAGCAUAAGAAUAAGCCAAUCUGAUCAUUGAUUUCGCUGCUCGUAGUGUAUGCACGAAGGAAACCAAUUUAAGCAACCAAUUUAAGGAAGCGAGUGAGGGUAGCAGCUUUAGCAAAGUCUCCUUCUUCGCGGGCUCCUAAGAUAUUGAGCAUAAGAAUAAACCGAAUCCGAUUGCAAGCUGUUUGCUUCAUAAUCACUUGAGUUUCCUCUCUGAGUUGAUCGCAUUGGCGUUUAACAUCUCCAAACCUGUCUCCUAAAUUUCGUUGCUCCUCUCUUAUGCAUCUUUGAUCUUCCCUUAUCUUAUCCAUUUCCGAUUUUAUUCGUUGGGCCCUCACUUUCAAACUCUUCAUUUUUGGUUUGAAAGUCUUCUUCCUCAUGCUCAUCGCCAUUUUAUCAGCUUAAAUUUGAAGCUCAAAGAAAACUAAAGCUGAAUGAGUUGGAGAUUUAAUCUUCGAUUGUGUUGAAUGAAAAGCCAUAAAGACUGGAAUAUAAAUAUACAUCUAACAAGUUACUGUUAGCGAACCGCGUCUGGUGUUCGGAGGAAAAACAAUAGAAUAAGGAAGAUGAAGAGAAACCGGAGUGAAAGGAGGAAGAAACAGCAGUUACAUAAUGAGGCCAGCAAUCGAACGAUUUUCAAGUGUUAAUAUAUUCCCAAGUGUAAGCGUCGCUCGGUUUCUCAAGUGUUAUCGAGCGAUUCCUUUUGUUAUGACUGAAUGAAACACAAGACUAUCGGUUUGGCUGACAUCCACUUAAUAUAUUCUCGUGGUCCCACACUGUUACUGCAAAAGUAUUUUAUUACGUCACAUACUUUUUCUUUGUGUAUUAUUUAUAUUAUUUUAUUCCUGAUAGUAGUGUUAUGUAAUAUGUAUUAGGAGUAAGAAACAAGAAUGAGGUCACCGCAAAGGUACUCCGUUAAAUACUUCAAAAAAAGGGAUAAACAAAGGUCUUUUAAAUUAAUUAAACUUCACCAUCAGCUUUUUUCAAUCAUUUGCAUGGUAUAUACAAAGACCUUCACAGCGAAUGAGAUUACACAAAUUAAAAUUGUUCAUAUAGAGAUUAUUGAAAGUUAAAGAGGGUGCAAAAUUACACAUAAUAUGUCUCCCCAUUCACAUAAUUGUUCAUAAUAUGUCUUAUCGAGCGAUUGCUUUUGUUUUGAGAGAAUGAAACACAGAUUAUUAGUCUGUUUUUAUUAUAGUGUUUCUACUAUAGUCUUGUGUGACUGGAAGUGACAGAUUAUUGGUGUGGUUGUUACAUCGAUUUAAUAUUCUCGUGGUCACAGCGUUAUGAUUUGCUUCUCAUAUUUUCUAGGAACUUCAUUUUCUUGGCUUUUGUGGCUGAAUAUGUCGUUCAAUUCACGUCACACUUAAACUUCAAAUACAAAGGUCAGUAAAGUCUAUUAGCAAUUCACGCCAAAGACAAGUUCUAGAAACCAAUAGAAACAAGGCACAUAAACGACAGAAUUAGAGAUGAAUGGAUUUCGUUUAAUUCCAACAAAUCCCUCCGUCAGAUUAAUUAGUUUUCAAUCUUCACCAUGCAAGCAUCUUCUAGAACUUGUAGAUCACAUCACUCUUUAAUGGCUUUGUAAAGAUAUCUGCAAGUUAGUCUUUAAACUAGCAAACUCCACCUCAAUCUCAUGGUCUUUUACCAAAUCCCGACAGUAGUGAUGUUUGUACGCAUUUCCUUCCACUCUUCGUUCUCUCUCAAAAAGCAAUGUAAGUCUGUUUUAUUAUUUUAGUUUUGAGUUGAGCUUAUUUUUUCUCUUUGCAGUUGGUAUGAGUUGUUAAUGUUUAUUUGGGUAUGUUUCACAUUAUUUUGCUGUUGGCAAUUUUUAGUUAUAGUUGCAUUUUCCGAAUGGUUGUUUUUGCAUAUUGUUGUUUAAUUUUCUACUCACGCAAGUGUACAUAUUGCAAAGGUAAUAUAGAGAUGAGUAGAGUGUCGAUUCCACAGAGAAUUGAAUUAAUCCUUGCAGUUAACUACUAAAAUUAACACACUUUAACUUUAUCUAGACAAUUAAAAUUAAAAAAGAAAAUUUAAAUUAAUAAACUAAUAACAAAAACUAAUCUAUUCAAAUUUACUUUAUUAAAUGUGAAUGACUACCAGAUCUAAGAUUAGAAUAUUUCUCAAUACUUUAUCUGAUUAUUAUCUCUCUCUUAACCUAGUUUAAUGGAUUAAGUUGGUAACCUAGAGUCCUAAAUUAUUUACAAGUCUCUAUCGAGUUUUUUAUAAAAAUAUCUCUCUCAAUUAAUUUACUAUAUGUCUAUACAAAUUAUAUUGAAGAAAGAUUCAUUAAGUUUAUGCUCUAAUCCUAGCUACGUAUGGUUUAUAGGUGUAUUUCUACCCUAUAUGCAAAUCAAAUCACCUAAUCAACUAAGUGUAUUCGAUCAUACGCUAUUCUAUUCAAGAUCUACCUAAAUCUCCUUUGUCAAGGUUUAACUUAGAUUUCCAAUUCAAUCUAAUUGGUGGCCAGUCAACUAGAAGCAUUAAGAACAGAAUAAAAUAAACAACUUAAAUCUAUCAAACAUAAGCAAAAAAGAGAUAAAUAAUUCAGACUACAUAUUGAGUUCAAUCAUAAUCUUAGAUAAAAAAUUUAGUUCCCUAUCAAGUCACACAUUAUUAUUGAAUAAAAUCUAAACAUUAAAAACAAAACUAAGAAAAUAAAAGAAUAAAAAAAAAUAUAAAAAAACUCAAGAAUUGUAUUCUUGAUCUCCAAAUCUCCUUGAAUUUUGCAAAUUCUUUUUAGCUUCAAUGACUCUAUGGCUUGACUCUUAGCUGUUAAUCUGAUGUUUCUUCAUUCUCUUUUUUUCUCAUCUGAAAGGUUGUUUUUAUAGGCUUUGAAGUUAGGCCAAGUUGGGUGAAGAAAGAAGUCAAUUUCAACUAUGAUUUUUAUUGGCUCCAUUAGUUUUUUAUGAUAAUAAAACAUUCCCAUUCAUUUGUGUCUAAUGCCUUUACUUAAGUGUGCAGGAAAAUUAAUGUAUAAAAUUAAUAAAUCAAUCUUUUAAAAUACAUAUCAAAAGAAAAAGGGAGAUAAAGAUAAAGAGACAUGACUGCUUAACAAGGAGGAAGCUCAUUAGUUGAAUAAGGAAGAAUGUUGGUUGGCCAAGAUUCAAAAUGGAGAAAUGGUAGGCUGAAGAAUAUUGAGAAAUAGAACCAACUUAGUCGACCAAGAAAUAGACUAGUCGACUAAGUGCAUACUGCUAGAAACAGGGAGUAGAAAACAGAGACGAUUUAAUCGACUAAGAUAUUGGUUAGUCGACCAAGAGCAUUCUGGCUGCAAGUUUGAAAGCUGCACUAAAAGACAGAGUAACGGCUAGAACUGACCCUCAACUAUCUCCAACGGCUAAAAAACUGUCAGACUGCCAUCAGAGUUGUUUCUCUAAGUAUAAAAGGGUCUUCCAAUGGUUAGAAAUUAGUUUUUGAGAGAAUUAAAAGCUUCCAAGUGAUAUAGAGCUGAAAAAUUAGAAAAUCUUCUCUGCAUUUUGCUUCACUUAAACGCCCAUCUUUUGUUAUUAUAUUCUGCACUCAACCUUGUACUAUUUAGAUCAACUUAUGAUCAUAGGUACUUUCUUUUAUUUCUCUUAUUGUAUUCUUAGAGUGAGAGAGUUACUCUAAGUGGUUGUUUCAAGCUAGGUUUGCUUGAAUGUGUUAAGGUUCUAACUUAGCCUUGAAAAGUCAGUUGGUGAGUUUUAGUUUAGCCUGUGCAAAACUAGUGUUAAAGGUUUUGACUGAGUCUUGUAAAAGCCAUUGUAAAGCUUGGUGAAAGCUUGUGAAUUUCACUGGUUGUUAAUGGAUUGUUUGAAAAAUCCUUCGUUGGAUAAUCAAGGUAGUAGAUGUAGGUCUUGGACCUAGCCACUAUAAAUUCUACUGUCUUGUUUACUCUAUUUUGUUUCAUUUUCUUUCCUUCAUUUGUCUCAACUUUAUCUAGACUUACAGACAAUUUUUGAAAGAGCCAAAUUAUGCUAUUCACCCCCCUCUAGCACAUAUUAUUGGGACCAACAAUUUCCUCAUCAAACUAUGUAGUCGCAGCUUUGCCCAAUUAAUUAACAGAAAUCAUAAUUGCUCUAGAAUUGUUGCAGUAUAUCAACUUCAAUAAGAUUUUUGACCAUAUUUCAGGCCAAACUAGGUGAAGUGGUAAUAAUAAAAGUUGUAGAUUUUUCUCUUAUCUUUCCAAUAGUUUAAGAAUCGCUUCAUUUAGAACUCUAUAGAGAAAGUUAUGGCUGAAAUACCGAAACAUGUGAAGUGUAAGUUAGUACCUUGAAAUUGCUCUCUUUCUUUUACUAAAAUUCUUCUUUCAAACACCUACAAAAGCACAAAUAAAUCAAUAACAACCUAUCUUGAUCAUAUUAACACCAAAUUAAGUAUAAAUUAAUCAUAAUUAGAUUGACUUACCUAAAAUAACUAAUUUAAAAUAAUUAAAUAAAAUCUACUAAUUUUUAUGCAUUACUACAAAAACUAAGCCAAAUCAUUAUUAAAAAUAAGCUCAAAUAACUCUACAUUAUAGAGUUAUCACAUAUUGUACAUACAAAUUUCUCGUCGAAUUUCUUGACUUGAAAAAUUAUGACACAAAUAUAAAAUAUUUUGAUGUGAGUUAUAAUAUUUGAAAAUUCCUCUGAUUAAUUUCUUCACUUCAGCCUUAAGAGUCAUGAACUCGGACUUAGUCUUGAUCACGAACUAAACUUGAUAUCUUCGCUUCAAAGGGCUUGACGACUUGAUUUUGAUUACGAACUAUAUUUGAUAUCUUCACCUCAAGGGUCUUGAUAACUUGAUCUUGAUAGUCUUGGUUACGAGCUAAACUUGAUAUCUUCACUUCAAACAUCUUGACGACUUGAUCUUGAUCACAAACUAUAUUUGAUAUCUCUGCCUUAAGGGUCUUGACAACUUGAUCUUGAUCAUGAACUAUGUUUGAUAUCUUUGCUUCAAGGGUCUUCACGACUUGAUCUUGAUCAUGAACUAUACUUGAUAUCUUCACCUCAAGGGUCUUCACGACUUAAUUUUGAUGUCAAGCUCAACUCUAUUAUAUACUUGCCAUGUCAUUCAUGUAUUUGAUAGCAUAUCUAUAUACUUGGAUGCCUCAAAAAAUCGUUAAAAAGUUGGUAUCGUACCUAAUGGUACAAUUAAGUUGAUUAAAGCCUCGAACUAGUCCAAAUAGAGAUUUGAAGAUGUAUUCGAGAGUUAUUGAAACUUAGAAUAUCUUAAUAUGGUGAUUCGGAGUUUGAUGAUUGAUUUGGAGUCCAAUCGGGAAUUUUCAUAACGUAAGGGCAAAAUGAUCAUUUUACCACCUGAGGGUAAAAUUGCAAUGUUGGAUGAAAUUUUUGACUAAGUUUGACUAAUUGGAGCAUGAUUUAAAUUUGAGAAAUGAACAAUUUUAAUUUCGACAUUUUUUCGAACAUAAGGGCAAAUAGUCAUUUUACGUGUCCAUAAGGGCAUAAUUGGAAUCUUUAAAAAUUUGCACCACCAUGACACUUGUCCAACCCAUAAACUUCACCCAUUAUCAUUUUGGCCCAUGGAUAAUUUUGUGGUGGUGAGAGAAUGCUUAAUUGUUAAGUGUUAAGCAUGAACCAAUUACAUGGUGACACGUGGUAAAUUUUAAUCCUUUUAUAAUUCCCUUUAAAAACCAGCACACACUCCUCCCAAAUCAUUCUCUCUUGGCCGGCCAAAGCAAAAAACAAAGAGAAAAGAAUAGAAACAAACCCUAGAGAGGAAAAUUUAAGAGAAACUUGUUGAAUUUCAAAGAACAAAGCAAUCAAAAGUAAGAUUUUUCAAUUUUAGCUUAAGAUCUACCUUUCCCAUGCUCUCUUUUUCAUUUUCCAUAGUUGAAACUCAAGAUUUCAUGAAGGAAAGUUUGCUAGCCGAACCUAGGGGGAGAGGUUUUGAUCACGGGUUUUGUUAGAUUUCAUGCUACAUACUCGUUUUUAGUUGUUUUGUGAUACUCGGUGUGAAAAACAAGCAUGAAAACCACAUGUUCUUCAUCAAACCCUCCUUGGCUGAAUUUACUAAAGGACAUAUUGAUGAUGAAUCUUGUUAUAUCUCAUGUUAUUUAACUCGUAUUUGAUGAAUUGUGGUGUCGGAUAUUGAAAACGGUUAUGAAAACGUAUAGUUCCUUUAGUGAACGAUUUGAACAAUAAUAAGUAAAUCAUAGUAAAUGGACUUGGAUUUGAUUUCUAAUGAUAUAGAUGGAUUUAUUGGACUAUGUUGACAUUGAUUAGCAUGUUAGUUCGGAAUCAGAAUGAAUUUCGGUUACGAUGAAUUAAGUCACAAUCAAGCUCAUUAAGGUACCUUGGUGUAUUUGGAAUAUUGGAAGUGUAAUGAAUAUAUUUGAAGUGGAAUUGGAUGUUUUGGUUAAUUCAACAGCGUAUAGUUCGAGUUAGGUCGAAUGCAAAUUCAAACCGAUCAAAAUUGAACUCACGUAGAAUACCAUCUUUAAGUGAUUAUUUGGACACUUCUCAUUCCAUUUCAUGCAUUCAUGUAGAGCCUGAAAUACUUUUAUAAUAGAAUGGGACAAAUAUAUUGAAUUACUUGUCGUGUAUUAUGUAUAGGUGUUGAGCCCCCUAAUAAGGGUAAAGAUAUUAUACCCGAGGACCAAGAAUAAGAGUACUCCAAACUCUCGUUAUUGUGAGUGAUCAGACUUUCAUCUUAACUAUCUAAAGUAGUUUAUACUCGUUUUUAUGUUUUAAAGAAAAAUGAGUUUAAAUUGUAAGUUAUUAUGUUUUAAAAGUGAAGUGUUGGUUAAACGAAAUGAGAUUUAUAACUAUUUUGAAAUUAAAUACUGGUUUUGGAAAUUGAGUAAGUGGAGACUGUAUACUCAUGUUAUAUAUAUAUAUGUUUUGACAUAUGGUUUGAAUUGAUGGCUUAUGACAAUGUGGUGGCAAGCAUGGUUAGAUUUCUGUUUGUGUGGAAUAUAUGAAUUGUUUUGCUUUGCCUUGACAAGCUGGGUAAUGCUAUAUUGGCCAUGUCAUGCUAUCGAAAUUUUUAUUAAUUUUGGGGGUUAUUUGAUUAGCUUACUGCAGUGGACGAGUUUCUGUGGACUAGCCUAUGAGAAGGGCAUGGUAAAUCCCGUUAUAUUUACCUUAAUACGAGAGGCGCGGAGGGUAUCUCCUAAGGUAAAGUUUAGAGUUCACUUCACCCCAAACCACCACGUGAAAGUGAAACUCAACCAACGCCAAGGAACGACUAUGUUUUUAAACGUGAAAACAUGUUUUAUGUGUAUAUGUUUUUUUAACUGCCUUGGCGGACUCGGUUGGAUGCCCGGCGCAAGGCAUCAUCGAGUACUAAUUUUUGGCACGAGCCAAAUUUUUACGAGAAUCAUUAGCCUUGUUGAUUUUUAUGAAAUGAAAUUGAUUUAUAUGAAAUGAAAUGAGAUUUGAUGUUAUGAAUCAUAUUAUGAUGAGAUAUUUUAAAUUGUCUCCGUUUACUCGGCUUUAGAUAUUAUAGAUGAAAUUUGCUUACUCACUGGGUUUAGAAAAACUCACCCCUUCUUUUCCCCCAUUUCAAGCUCAAGACAGUCUAUAGACAGUCAAUUUUGUCGAGGGUUGCUUUUGGAUUUGUAUCCUUAGAAAUCGAAAGUCUACAGUCUUGUACAAUUUCAGUUAUUUUGGGGGCCCACAUGUUAUUGUAGAAUAUUUUUGUAUACCUGGUUUAGUGCGCUAUUAUAUAUAUGAAUUUAUUUUGCUUUUACGCUACAAAAAUUAUUUAUGCACGAUUCUAUAAAUAUUGUUUUAUAAGAAAAUAAAAUAUUUUAUUUAAUAUUUUUAUUUAGUUUGAUUAGCCAUAAUUUCAUCUUAAAUGGAUAAUUUAGAUUACUAAAAUUAUUCUUAGAUAAGAAAUGUAUAUUUUUUGAUCGUAUACUAUAUUUUCAUCAAGUUUCAAAAUUUUGGAUAAAAUGACCAAAAUACCCCUGUGCAGUAGAAAUUACUUUUUGAUCAUUUUUUAUUUGAAAAUAGUCUAUAUUCUUUUAAAUAUGAUAUUUAAUAACUGUUACUCACAGGGGCGGCAGAAAACUGAUGCAAUAGCCUUACGAGGUUUCAGUUGGCAUUCCAAGUAAGGAAUGUCUAUCGAGACAUCGCGGAGGGUUGUCAUGGGCUCGAAGAGAGUACCGGGUUGUGACACUUGACCAUGAACACUUGAUAUUUUGAUCAUGAACUUUGCUGCCGCCGGAUAUCUUGAUCACGAACUUUGUUUCUACUUGAUCAUGAACUUCGCUGUCGCUUGAUAUCUUCACUUUAGAAAUCGUCUACUUUUCUCAAUCUCUGAAAAGCUCUGAAUCUUCGAAUGCCUUCGAAUGAAUGCAAGUGGAUUGGAGGAGCCCCUUAUUUAUAAUGCUAGGUGGGAGACUUUGAUGAGAAUGUAGUCUCUUUGAAUUAUCUCUAAAUUAUUUUAAUUUAUUUAGAGAUAAAUUAUAAUGACUCAUUAAAAGUCUUUUGAUUGACAGGAUUUUGAGUCAUUAAAUUUUGAUUGGUCGAAGUUAAGUAUUAUCUCUAAAUCAUCUUAAUUUAUUUGGAGAUAAAUUAAAUAAUAAAAUUUGAUUUUUAUCUCUAAAUUAUCAUAAUUAUUAGAGAUAAAUUAAAUGACCAAUAAUUAAAUUUUGAUUGGUCAAAAAUAUGAUAUUAUCUUUAAAUUAUCUUGAUUUAUUUAGAGACAAAUUAGAUUAUCAAUAAUUAAAUUUUAAUUGUUCCAAAUUAAAUAUUAUCUUCAAAUUAUCUCAAGGGAUAAAUACAUGACAUAUUAGUGAAUUAGUUCAACUAUGUGUCUUUGAAAUAAUCUAACGAAUAAAUUAAUUAUUUUAAAAUUAAUUAUAUGGUUAUGAUAUCAUCAAGUCCACAUUGCAGCACGUAAUUGGAUCAUAACUUUUUUUCUUCUACAAAUGCCCCUCAAGACUUGUUCACAUAUGAUUUUGAAUGAAGCAAGUGGACAAGUCUUGAAAUUUUAAAAAAUUUCUGGGAUUUCUUAGAAUCCUAGUAUGUCUUGGUAUACUUGCAAGCCAAGUUAAAUUUGAAUUAUACUUACCCAUAGGUAAGAGAAUUAUGAUCUUGGAAGAUGUAUAUUGCAAUAAACCUAUAGGAAGAACUAUAUUGUAGUUGGUAUUACAUUUUUUAGUCAACAAAGGCUCUCUCUUUUAACUCUAUAAAAGGGAAACUCCCUCGUUAAUUUUCUACACAUCGAAAUCAAUUUAAGAAUUGCAGGUGUUCCAUAAGCUAGUAAAAAAAUUCUUCAAGAUAUGCCACCUUGAUAGUUUUUUUAUUCUAUCAAAUAAGUCCUCAUACUCUUAUUACGUUCAAUCGAGCCUUCAUAUUUUUUAUUUUGAAUCAAAUAAAUCCUUAUACUUUUAUUUUAAGUCAAAUAAGCAUUUAUAACUAAUAGUUGACUUAAUCAAAAUAUCAUUUAUCAUUUUAUAUCAUAUGGUAGUGACGUGACUAACGUGACAUGUUGACAUGUUAUAAUAUAUUAUGAUAUGGUCAAAUCGUAUUUUUCACGCUCUAUGUCAGCACCACAUGGACAUAAAAUGAUAGUCGAUGUUUUAAUUAUUGACAAUUAGUUAACUAUUAUUUAUAAAAGCUUAUUUGACCCACAAUAAAAGUACAAAGGCUUGACUGAACAAAAUAAAAAAAUAUGGGCUUAUUUAAAUUUUUUUGAAAAAUUUACGAAUUUUUUUUAGCACUAAGGCAAAAUAAAAAGGGGAAGAGAUCCAAGUUACACAUUAAUAAAUCAAUUACAAUAUUAUGAAAAUUAUUGAUGUAAAAAUUCUUCCCUUUUCAUAAAAAUUAUUAUGAAAAUUUGUAAUAAAUCAAUUAUAUUUUAUUAGGAUCUCAGCCAACGUGAAGGGGAACUCAGCCAACGUCAAGGAACGGCUGUAUUUUUCUCAAACUAAAAUAUAUUUUAAGUGUAUACAAAAUUUUAACAGCCUUGGCGGACUCGGUUAGAUGCCCUGCGCAAGGUAUCACCGAGUAUGAGUUUUGGCACGAGCUAAAGUUUUAAGAAAUUCAUAAGCCAAGUUGAUUACUCGAUUUUUAUGGAUUGAUUUUAUUUGGUUGAAAUGAGUUGAAAGGUAAUGAAAUUACAGUAUGAUGAUUUAUUUUAAUUGUCUCCAUUUACUCGAUUUUAGAUAGUUUAGAUGGUAUCUGUUUACUAACUGGGAUUUUAUAAUCUCACCACCCUCAUUUCCUCACAUUUCAGGCUCGGGGAAUUUCAUAGUUAGCUGACUUUAACAAGGACCUUCAUUUGGAUUCGAAUCGGUAAAAGUUGUAGGUUUCCAACUUCCGAUGCAUUUUGGAUAGAUGUGGGCCCACGUGUCACUGUAAAAAAAAUUUUAUGCUUUGGUUAUUUGUUUUAUAGUAUAUAUGAAUAUAAUUAUCUUUUACGCUAUAAGAAUUAUGUACCGAUAGUUUUAUGAAAAUUAUUUUACAAGAAAAUAGUUUAUUUUAUUGAAUAUUUUUAUUAUAUUCAAAUGGUCAAGUUUUCACUUCAAAUGAACGUUUUAGAUACUUAAUUUUUUUUAAAAUCAUUAAAUAUAUAUUUUUGGCUUACCUACUACAUUUUUAGCAAGUUUUGAGCUUUUCGACAAAAAUGACGAAAAUGCCCCUGUGAGCCAAAAAAAAAUAUGUUAUGUUAUGAUUUGAAAAUGAUUUGUAAUCCUUCGUAUUUUGAUUAUUUGAUAACUAUUGCUCACCGGGGAAGUGCGAAAGUUGAUACGAGAGCCUUGCGAGGUUUCGAUCGACAUUCGGAGUGAAGAAUGUUUGUCGAGGCUUCGCGGCGGUUGUCACGGGCUCGAUGGGGAGUUCCGGGUCGUGACAUUAUGGCUUUGUAUACUUCAAGUUUUUUACUCUUUUGCCUUUAGAUCAACUUGAGCUUCUCAAGAGUCGACUCCUAGACUUGUGCCUUAAGGUUGUCUUAGCUUUUUAGCACCUUUCUUCAACUAUAUUUUCUUUGCCUUGUUCCAACAAUCAAAUAAUAAUUCAUGGCAUGUUUACCUUUUGUUUUCUUAGUUGAAUAUGCAUUGUUUGAAAGCUUUUAUAAUAUUUUUUAAUGAUGCAUGGCUUUUUAAACAAUUAUGUGGUCUUAGGGGAUUAAAAAUAUAUUUGAGACAAUUUAAAAUGCUUGACAUUAAGUUCAAAAUAACAUGUAAUUUUUGUCAAAUUAAAGCAUGAUGUAACUCAAGGCUAACAUUGUUCCUUGACGUUUGAAAGACCUUAAUAACUUUAUCAACUAUGUUAAGAGGAAGAUUCCUAAAUGGUCUGUUGUGCACGUCCCCCGUUCUGGUAAUAUGUUAAUUGACCAUCUUGCAAAAGCUGGAGUCAAUCAUGCUCAUGGGCAAACCAUAUUGGAAGGAGUGGUGUCACAUGGCACCACUCACUUCUUAAAAUGUUUUAAUUUUUAUAUUAUUUAUUUAAAGUUUUGGGUAGUUAAUAUAGUAAUGAACCCAUGAAUUUUUUUUGCAAUUUUAUAAGGACGGGGGUCAAAUACUCCAAGUAAAAGUGAUUUAUCAAAAGGUAAUUUAUGUAUUUUGUAGAGGCUUAUAUUUAGUUUUAAUGAAUGAAUAGAAAAUUGUCAUUUCUUUAGUAACUGAAUUUGAUAAUUUGCUAUGUAAGAUUAUAUUUUAUUUAAUUCUAAUAUUUUAAUUUAUGCUAAUGAGUACUAAUUUUUAACAAGUUAUAUAAAUUUAGAUAAAUAAGUCAUGAAAAGAUAUUUUAAAAGAAAAAAAAUUAUCUCACAAGGCUUAGAUCUCGUACAAUAACAAAAUUCUACUAAUGAUGAUACUUAACAGUAUUUUUCUAAGUAAAAUUGUGUUGAAUUUGAUAUAAGUACUCUUUCAAUAGAUCUUGAAUAAAAAAAAAAUUUUGAAUAUCAUCCUAUUGAAUGACAUCACUUAAAAAAAUCCACCGACGCCGGUUACCAUCCACAAGUACAGGCCGUAAGGCCCUGUUGGUACGAGCAACUGCCAUUCCUUAUAUCAGUUAAGCCUUCAAACAGUCAUUCUUUAUAUAAUAUAUAUAAUUUUGGCAAGUGUUAAAAUUAUGAAUUAACUAAUAAAUAUAAUUUUUUUUUUGUGUAACUCAAUCACGUAAAUAUAUUUUCUGAUGGUAUAUAAAAAAUUGCUGCACAUUAAAGAAGAAAACAGAAAAAGUGAGAUAACAAUGUUAAUUACAUAAAUUAUGUUUGCUGCUUCUAUCAGAAACCAAUUUAAGGAAGUUGGAUUAAAUAGAUCUUUAUAAUUAACAGUUAAUUAAAAAUAAUUAAUCAAAAUGUAACAUUGACAUGAUGUUAUGUUAUUAUAUUACAUAACAUGCAACAUCAUCAUUCACUAUGACAUGUCAGUAUGACUCAUCGAUAUUACAUGACAUAAAAAAGAUAAGUAACAUUUUGAUUAAUAAUAGUUAAUUAACUAUUAAUUAGUUAUAAGGUAAAAAAAACUUAUUUAAAAUUUUUUUUAAGUAUUAUAUAAUCUACUUCUUAUUUGUUAAACAAUGUGUACAUCACUAUUAAUGAUUAAAUUAAUAGGAUGUCAUAGAUAGGAACUAAGCUAAAGGAAUUAAAAACGCGAAUGGAGAAGAGAUACAGUUCCGCUAAUAAAAUGGGAAUGCUUUUUUAGUGGUCGUUUUCAAUAUUGUAUUUCUUGGGUCACCGCCCUAACCGUCCUUCAAUUAUCUUUUGUAAAUUGACUUCUUAAAGUAGCAAGCCUUGACAAAAUUCAUUAUGCACCAAAAUGAAAGCCAUACGACUCCGUUUUUAUAUGCAAAUCCUAUUAUUCUUUAUGUUUUUUAAUGAAGUCUAAAUUUGAACAAGAGUAAUAAUUUUAACAAUGUACUUUUAGGUUGGUUAAAAAGAUUUAAAAAAACUAACAGUAAAAUGAAUAUUUCAAAAAAAGUAAAAAAAAAUAAUCUUUUUUCUUUGCAGUUAAUUUUUUUUACUAUUUUUUAAUCAAAUGAAAAGUAUAAUGUUAUAAUUACAAUACUUGAUUAAACAUUAAGAAUCCAUCACCCUAAAUAAACUGAUAAAUUUUGGAUUUUAUUAAGUUUGCUUUAUCAAAGUCUCCUUCUUCGUGGGCUCGUAAGAUAUUAAACAUAAGAAUAAGCCGAAUCCGAUUGCAAGCUGUUUGCUUCAUAAUCACUUUGAGUUUCCUCUGAGUUGAUCGUGUUGGCGUUUAACAUCUCCAAACCUUUCCCCUAUAUUUCUUUUCUCCUCUCUUGUAAUUUUUAAUUUUUUUCUUUCCUAUUUCUGAUUUUAUUCGUUGGGACCUCACUUUCAGACUCUUCAUUUUUGGUUCGAAGGCCUUGUUCCUCAUG
rnacentral:lncRNA from 1 species